rnacentral:rRNA from 1 species
UCAGGAUGAACGCUAGCUACAGGCUUAACACAUGCAAGUCGAGGGCAGCAUGUGGUGCUGCAACCAAUGAUGGCGACCGGCGCACGGGUGAGUAACGCGUAUCCAACCUUCCCCUUAGUAGGGCAUAGCCCGUAGAAAUGCGGAUUAAUACCCUAUGUUGUAUUUUGAGGACAUCUGACGAAUACCAAAGGUUUACCGCUAAGGGAUGGGGAUGCGUCUGAUUAGGUAGACGGCGGGGUAACGGCCCACCGUGCCAACGAUCAGUAGAGGUUCUGAGAGGAAGGUCCCCCACAUUGGAACUGAGACACGGUCCAAACUCCUACGGGAGGCAGCAGUGAGGAAUAUUGGUCAAUGGGCGAGAGCCUGAACCAGCCAAGUAAGCGUGCAGGACGACGGCCCUAUGGGUUGUAAACUGCUUUUAUACAGGGAUAAAGUUCACUACGUGUAGUGUUUUGUAGGUACUGUAUGAAUAAGGACCGGCUAAUUCCGUGCCAGCCGCCGC